AUUGAACGCUGGCGGCAGGCCUAACACAUGCAAGUCGAACGAGUGGCGGACGGGUGAGUAAUGCCUAGGAAUCUGCCUGGUAGUGGGGGAUAACGUCCGGAAACGGGCGCUAAUACCGCAUACCAUCGGAUGAGCCUAGUUCGGAUUAGCUAGUUGGGGGGGUAAAGGCUGACCAAGGCGACGAUCCGUAACUGGUCUGAGAGGAUGAUCAGUCACACUGGAACUGAGACACGGUCCAGACUCCUACGGGAGGAAGCAGUGGGGAAUAUUGGACAAGGGGCGAAAGCCUGAUGCAGCCAUGCCGCGUGUGUGAAGAAGGUCUUCGGAUUGUAAAGCACUUUCAGCGGGGAGGCGUUACCCGCAGAAGAAGCACCGGCUAACUCCGUGCCAGCAGCCGCGGUAAUAC
rnacentral:rRNA from 1 species